UACGUAGGGUGCGAGCGUUGUCCGGAAUUAUUGGGCGUAAAGGGCUCGUAGGCGGUUUGUCGCGUCGGGAGUGAAAACUCAGGGCUUAACCCUGAGCCUGCUUCCGAUACGGGCAGACUAGAGGUAUGCAGGGGGAGAACGGAAUUCCUGGUGUAGCGGUGAAAAUGCGCAGAUAUCAGGAGGAACACCGGUGGCGAAGGCGGUUCUCUGGGCAUUACCUGACGCUGAGGAGCGAAAGCGUGGGGGAGCGAACAGG
rnacentral:rRNA from 1 species